UUUUGAAAAGAAAAGUCGUAACAAGGUUUCCGUAGGUGAACCUGCGGAAGGAUCAUUA
rnacentral:rRNA from 1 species